rnacentral:rRNA from 1 species
GUGUGACUGCGUACCUUUUGUAUAAUGGGUCAGCGACUUAUAUUCUGUAGCAAGGUUAACCGAAUAGGGGAGCCGAAGGGAAACCGAGUCUUAACUGGGCGUUAAGUUGCAGGGUAUAGACCCGAAACCCGGUGAUCUAGCCAUGGGCAGGUUGAAGGUUGGGUAACACUAACUGGAGGACCGAACCGACUAAUGUUGAAAAAUUAGCGGAUGACUUGUGGCUGGGGGUGAAAGGCCAAUCAAACCGGGAGAUAGCUGGUUCUCCCCGAAAGCUAUUUAGGUAGCGCCUCGUGAAUUCAUCUCCGGGGGUAGAGCACUGUUUCGGCAAGGGGGUCAUCCCGACUUACCAACCCGAUGCAAACUGCGAAUACCGGAGAAUGUUAUCACGGGAGACACACGGCGGGUGCUAACGUCCGUCGUGAAGAGGGAAACAACCCAGACCGCCAGCUAAGGUCCCAAAGUCAUGGUUAAGUGGGAAACGAUGUGGGAAGGCCCAGACAGCCAGGAUGUUGGCUUAGAAGCAGCCAUCAUUUAAAGAAAGCGUAAUAGCUCACUGGUCGAGUCGGCCUGCGCGGAAGAUGUAACGGGGCUAAACCAUGCACCGAAGCUGCGGCAGCGACGCUUAUGCGUUGUUGGGUAGGGGAGCGUUCUGUAAGCCUGCGAAGGUGUGCUGUGAGGCAUGCUGGAGGUAUCAGAAGUGCGAAUGCUGACAUAAGUAACGAUAAAGCGGGUGAAAAGCCCGCUCGCCGGAAGACCAAGGGUUCCUGUCCAACGUUAAUCGGGGCAGGGUGAGUCGACCCCUAAGGCGAGGCCGAAAGGCGUAGUCGAUGGGAAACAGGUUAAUAUUCCUGUACUUGGUGUUACUGCGAAGGGGGGACGGAGAAGGCUAUGUUGGCCGGGCGACGGUUGUCCCGGUUUAAGCGUGUAGGCUGGUUUUCCAGGCAAAUCCGGAAAAUCAAGGCUGAGGCGUGAUGACGAGGCACUACGGUGCUGAAGCAACAAAUGCCCUGCUUCCAGGAAAAGCCUCUAAGCAUCAGGUAACAUCAAAUCGUACCCCAAACCGACACAGGUGGUCAGGUAGAGAAUACCAAGGCGCUUGAGAGAACUCGGGUGAAGGAACUAGGCAAAAUGGUGCCGUAACUUCGGGAGAAGGCACGCUGAUAUGUAGGUGAAGUCCCUCGCGGAUGGAGCUGAAAUCAGUCGAAGAUACCAGCUGGCUGCAACUGUUUAUUAAAAACACAGCACUGUGCAAACACGAAAGUGGACGUAUACGGUGUGACGCCUGCCCGGUGCCGGAAGGUUAAUUGAUGGGGUUAGCGCAAGCGAAGCUCUUGAUCGAAGCCCCGGUAAACGGCGGCCGUAACUAUAACGGUCCUAAGGUAGCGAAAUUCCUUGUCGGGUAAGUUCCGACCUGCACGAAUGGCGUAAUGAUGGCCAGGCUGUCUCCACCCGAGACUCAGUGAAAUUGAACUCGCUGUGAAGAUGCAGUGUACCCGCGGCAAGACGGAAAGACCCCGUGAACCUUUACUAUAGCUUGACACUGAACAUUGAGCCUUGAUGUGUAGGAUAGGUGGGAGGCUUUGAAGUGUGGACGCCAGUCUGCAUGGAGCCGACCUUGAAAUACCACCCUUUAAUGUUUGAUGUUCUAACGUGGACCCGUAAUCCGGGUUGCGGACAGUGUCUGGUGGGUAGUUUGACUGGGGCGGUCUCCUCCUAAAGAGUAACGGAGGAGCACGAAGGUUGGCUAAUCCUGGUCGGACAUCAGGAGGUUAGUGCAAUGGCAUAAGCCAGCUUGACUGCGAGCGUGACGGCGCGAGCAGGUGCGAAAGCAGGUCAUAGUGAUCCGGUGGUUCUGAAUGGAAGGGCCAUCGCUCAACGGAUAAAAGGUACUCCGGGGAUAACAGGCUGAUACCGCCCAAGAGUUCAUAUCGACGGCGGUGUUUGGCACCUCGAUGUCGGCUCAUCACAUCCUGGGGCUGAAGUAGGUCCCAAGGGUAUGGCUGUUCGCCAUUUAAAGUGGUACGCGAGCUGGGUUUAGAACGUCGUGAGACAGUUCGGUCCCUAUCUGCCGUGGGCGCUGGAGAAUUGAGGGGGGCUGCUCCUAGUACGAGAGGACCGGAGUGGACGCAUCACUGGUGUUCGGGUUGUCAUGCCAAUGGCACUGCCCGGUAGCUAAAUGCGGAAGAGAUAAGUGCUGAAAGCAUCUAAGCACGAAACUUGCCCCGAGAUGAGUUCUCCCUGACUCCUUGAGAGUCCUGAAGGAACGUUGAAGACGACGACGUUGAUAGGCCGGGUGUGUAAGCGCAGCGAUGCGUUGAGCUAACCGGUACUAAUGAACCGUGAGGCUUAACCUU